GAGAAAGAGACAACCAGCACACGGGGGAUGCCUCGGGUGCGGAUGGGGCGAAGAAGGUCGUGGCACGCCACGAAAGGCCUCGGGGAGCGGCGUCGCACGCAACGAUCCGAGGGUCACCGAAUGGGGAAACCCCCAGACCGGCAGGUCUGGACGGUUCGCCACAGGGCGAAACCGAGUCCAAAGCGGGGAACUGAAACAUCUCAGUACCUGCGUCGAGAAAGCGUCAGCGAAUCCCGUAGUAGCGGCGAGCGAACCGGGACGAGUCCAAACGUUCGAGGCGUGACCGGACAUACCGGCGCCUCGGGCGGGUUGCGGGCCUGUCUUGUCGGCGUAUGUCGACCGACACCGGCUCUGCGCCGUCGAUCCGAAGCUGUUGGAAUGCAGCGCCCCAGCGGGUGAGAGCCCCGUCGGAGCAGACGCGCGUAGACCGGGACAGGUUCCAGAGUACCACGGUCCUCGUGGAAGACCGUGGGAAGCCGGGCGGCCCACCGCCCAAGACUCCCGACCAUCCGUCACCGAUAGCGCAGAGUACCGUGAGGGAACGGUGAAAAGCCCCCCGGGAGGGGAGUGAAAGAGAUCCUGAAACCGUGUGCUGUCAAGCCGUCAGAGUGGGGUUCGCCUCAUGAUGGCGUGCCUAUUGAAGAAUGAACCGGCGAGUGACCGGCAGGCCGCGAGGUUAACGACCGCGAGGUCGGGAGCCGGAGCGCAAGCGAGUCUGAAGAGGGCGGCCAGUGGCCGCCGGUCGACCCGAAACCGUGUGAUCUAGCCGGCGCCAGGCUGCAAUCCCCUUAAGCCGGGAUGAAGGGCCGCACCCGUGUCCGUUGAAAAGGGCUGGGACGAGCGGCGGCUAGGGGUGAAAUGCCAAUCGAACACGGAGAUAGCUGGUUCUCCCCGAAAUCGCUUGAGGGCGAGCCUCCCCGACCAAUACCGACGGGGUAGCGCUCUGUGAAUGGAAGGGGUCCGUGAAGGAUUACUGCCUGUUCGCAAACGACAAAGUCGUCGGUAGGCGGGAGAGAGUCAGACGUUGGGGGAUAAGCUCCAAGGUCAAAAGGGUAAGAGCCCAGAUCGUCCGCUAAGGUCCCCAAAUGACCACUGAGUGGCAAAGGUCGUCGCGUGAUCGAGACAGCCAGGAGGUUGGCUUAGAAGCAGCCAUCCUUGAAAGAGUGCGUAAUAGCUCACUGGUCGCAGUCGCGCGGCGCCGAGAAUGUGCGGGGCUAAGUGGUCUACCGAAGCGGCGAAUCGGCCUCCUUGGGAGGCCGGUGGUAGGGGAGCGUCCGCCGGGGGGCGAAGCGUGCGGGGAACCGUGCGUGGACCGCGGCGGAGUGCGAAUGCCGGUAUGAGUAGCGAAAAGGCCCGUGAGAAUCGGGCCCGCCGAAAGCCGCAGGGUUCCGGAGGCAGGAUCGUCCGCUCCGGGUUAGUCGGGCCUAAGGCGAGGCCGUUCAGGCGUAGUCGAUGGAGACACGGUGGAGAUUCCGUGACCAGCCGAUCACCGCGAAGGGAGCAGGACGUGGUCCGCGGGGGUCUGCGCCCCGUUGGUCGUGGGCGUCCCGCAAGGGGGACGGAACCGCAAGUACGGAAGAGAGCUCGGCGGACCACCGAGAAAAGUGCAACUGGAGUGAUCGGGUGUCCGUACCCGAAACCGACACAGGUAGGCGAGGCGAGGAGCCUCAGGCGCGCGAGUGACCUCUCGUUAAGGAACUCGGCAAAUUACCCCCGUAACUUCGGGAGAAGGGGGCCCGGCCGCAGCCGCGGCCGGGGGCACUACAGCGGCCCAAGCGACUGUUUACCAAAAACACAGGUCCCUGCGAAGUCGUAAGACGCCGUAUAGGGGCUGACGCCUGCCCGGUGCUGGAAGGUUAAGGUGAGGGGUGCAAGCUCCGACCCGAAGCCCCAGUCAACGGCGGCCGUAACUAUAACGGUCCUAAGGUAGCGAAAUUCCUUGUCGGGUAAGUUCCGACCCGCACGAAAGGCGUAACGACUUGGGCACUGUCUCAACGAGAGACUCGGUGAAAUUGCAAGUCCUGUGAAGAUGCAGGAUACUUACGACUGGACAGAAAGACCCCGUGGAGCUUUACUGUAGCCUGCCAUGGAACGCGCGCGACGUGUGUACAGGAUAGGUGGGAGGCGGAGAAGCCGCCGCGUUAGCGGCGGGGGAGCCAUCCUUGGGAUACCACCCUCACGGCGUGCACGAUCUAACCGCCGCCGUCACCCGGCGCGGGACAGUGGCAGGGGGGCAGUUUGACUGGGGCGGUCGCCUCCUAAAGCGUAACGGAGGCGCCCCAUGGUUCCCUCAGCACGGUUGGACAGCGUGCAGGGCGUGCAAAGGCACAAGGGAGCUUGACUGCGAGCGUGACAACGCGAGCAGAGCCGAAAGGCGGGCUUAGUGAUCCGGUGGCACCGCGUGGCAGGGCCAUCGCGCAACGGAUAAAAGCUACCCCGGGGAUAACAGGCUGAUCUUCCCCAAGAGUCCAUAUCGACGGGAAGGUUUGGCACCUCGAUGUCGGCUCAUCGCAUCCUGGGGCUGAAGUCGGUCCCAAGGGUUUGGCUGUUCGCCAAUUAAAGCGGUACGUGAGCUGGGUUCAGAACGUCGUGAGACAGUUCGGUCCCUCUCCGUCGUAAGCGGUGGAUACUUGAGGGGCGCGACUCCUAGUACGAGAGGACCGGAGUGGACGAACCGCUGGUGUGCCCAGUUGUGUUGCCCAAUGCAGCGCUGGGAAGCUAGGUUCGGAGCGGAGAAGCGCUGACCGCAUCUAAGCGCGAAACCGACCCCAAGAUGAGGUAUCCGAGGCGGCCUAUGGGCCGCCACGAGACCCCCACACGACCAGUGGGUAGAUAGGUGGUCCGUGGACACCCGGUAACGGGCGGAGCGAGACCAUACUAAUCGGUCGAGAUCUUUCUCCU
rfam:Sulfobacillus thermosulfidooxidans strain ZBY contig7, whole genome shotgun sequence.